GGCGAACGGGUGAGUAACACGUGGGCAACCUGCCCCAGGCACCGGGAUAACCCGAGGAAACUCGGGCUAAUACCGGAUACGCUCUCGGGACCACACGGUCCCGUGAGGAAACGCUCCGGCGGCCUGGGAUGGACCCGCGGCCUAUCAGCUUGUUGGUGGGGUAACGGCCCACCAAGGCGACGACGGGUAGCUGGCGUGAGAGCGUGGCCAGCCACACUGGGACUGAGACACGGCCCAGACUCCUACGGGAGGCAGCAGUGGGGAAUCUUGGGCAAUGGGCGCAAGCCUGACCCAGCGACGCCGCGUGGGGGAUGAAGGCCUUCGGGUUGUAAACCCCUUUCAGCGGGGACGAAGCGAGAGUGACGGUACCCGCAGAAGAAGCCCCGGCUAACUACGUGCCAGCAGCCGCGGUAAGACGUAGGGGGCGAGCGUUGUCCGGAUUUAUUGGGCGUAAAGCGCGCGCAGGCGGCCCGGUAAGUCGGAUGUGAAAACCCGGGGCUCAACCCCGGGCCUGCAUUCGAUACUGUCGGGCUCGAGGCAGGCAGGGGAGAUCGGAAUUCCCGGUGUAGCGGUGAAAUGCGCAGAUAUCGGGAGGAACACCGGUGGCGAAGGCGGAUCUCUGGGCCUGUCCUGACGCUCAGGCGCGAAAGCUGGGGGAGCGAACGGGAUUAGAUACCCCGGUAGUCCCAGCCGUAAACGAUGGGUGCUAGGUGUGGGGAGCAUCAACCCUCUCUGUGCCGAAGCUAACGCAUUAAGCACCCCGCCUGGGGAGUACGGCCGCAAGGCUAAAACUCAAAGGAAUUGACGG
rnacentral:rRNA from 1 species